GAACUGGAGCUACUCCAGGUUCAGGUGUGCAUCCCUGGCCCACUGAGUAGGAUGAUGUUUGCGUGGAAGGACUGUCCUGUCUCUAGGGUCUGUGCACAACAGCAGCUGAGAAAGGUCCAGUGUCCACAGCCACUGGCCUCAGUGAACAUAAGCUUCCUUCUCCUUGCAAAUCUGUUACACAGAGUGAGCCAUGAGCUGACUCCCCUGUCCAUGAACCCACAGUUUUAAGUGUGAGAUUUGGAGGCCACUCAAAACAUACUAGGACCCUAGACUUUGUGGGAGUCAUUUAUCAUUCUGAGGACAAGGUAUGAGGGGAGAGGAGGGGCACUGCCGGGAAAGGGAAUUGAGUCUGUGUAAAUUUGGCCGUUAACAUGCAAUAUUUAUUACAGAGGUUAACCUUUAAAUAGUGUUGGCUAAAAAGAGUGUGCAACAAACAAAAUGUCCAACUUUAAGCUCAAGCCCCCCACUGUGGAUAUCAACUUCUCUAAUGUGGAAGCUGCCUGUGGGGAUGCUCACCUCUGCACACGUGCAUCCCAUGGUCCCAGACACCUGGGAAGAUGCUUAAGUUCUUUCUUCUCAUUAGAGAUCUGAGAACCAACCAGUCAAUUAAUCAGCUCAAAGGAAUAGAGUGCUGUAGCCAAGGCCCAGGUUAAAUAUUAAAAGCAUUACUUAGCUCUUGAAUUUGUAGCUGUUUAACUUGGUAAGUGGAGUUGAAGUCCCAGCCUGCUCAUGGCGAUUACUGAUUAAUGCCUGUGCACGUUUGUACAAGUCCCCCGGCUGCACGAUCGCCUGUCCUGCAGAGUGCAACUUUCCUUCAUCGAGCAGUCAACCUUCACCCAACGGGGACAGCGGACACUUCCUGAGAAGCCACCAGGCCCUGCCCCGACCCUUUACCGACUGUAGCUCGUUCAAUGAGCCUCACACCAACCUUGUAAGCAACUGGUACCGCUCAAUGUGGUGGCAGCUCCAUCAACCAGGGUCCUGGAAGGGGAGUCGUGGAGCAGAUCCUCUGGCUGGCUGGUGAUGGACGUGCAGCCUGGCUGACAGCCAAACCUUUGCUGUCAGAAGCCAUUUCUGCUGGGGGCUGUUUAUUGCUGUGGCACAGCCUAGCUGUCCUCACUGAGACUUCAAGCUGUGACUCCAGACAGGAUCCAGAGAGGGGUUCAUAGAGUCUUCUCUGGGUUUUAUGGAGACUUACUUUGCCCUUCUGUGUUAGCCUCUUAAGGCACUGUGUUAACCCUAGGCACAGGAAGGCAGGAGAAUCGCUCGAACCUGGGAGGUGGAGGUUGCAGUGAUCCGAGAUCGCGUCAUGGCACUACAGCCCGGGUGACAAAGUCUCCGUCUCAAAAAAAAAAAGGCACAGGAAA